GACGUAGGGUCCAAGCGUUGUCCGGAUUUACUGGGCGUAAAGAGCGCGUAGGCGGUCUGUUAAGUGUAGAGUGAAAUCUCCAGGGCUCAACCCGGAAACUGCUCUGCAUACUGGCAGACUGGAGGGAUGCAGAGGUUUGUGGAAUUCCUGGUGUAGCGGUGAAAUGCGCAGAUAUCAGGAAGAACACCCCGUGGCGAAGGCGGUUCUCUGGGACGGUACUGACGCUGAGACGCGAAAGCGUGGGGAGCGAACAGG
rnacentral:rRNA from 1 species